GAGAUGUUGAGGUGAGGUGAGAUGCAAUCCAUUCAAGAGCAAACCAGACAGGACAUUAUAGUAAGAGUGAAAGAAAAUGGUGUAAAUCCAGGAAAGAUUGACAUUGUAUUCAUACUGGCUGACUUGAUGGAGAACUAUGCAGACAUAGAGCACAGCCUCUAGCAAUGGAGAAUUCAGCCCGUCACUCAAGCAUCUAGAGCAGUGUUUCUCAAAGUGUGGUCCGAGCUAUCCCAAGUGGUCCACGAGCAG